rnacentral:tRNA from 1 species
UAUAUAGUGGCAGAUUAAUGCAUUAGGUUUAAACCCUAUUUAUGACUAUAAUCCUAUAUAA